GCGAACGACACAUCACUAGUGCCUACUGCUAUUCCCAACUUGAUACACCCAUGAUCGUCGUUGUAACCCUGACGAUAUUCAGGUAAUUGGUAGCUAGUUUACCAUGACGCAUGUUAGGUGUUAAUUUUGGACUGAUGAUUAAUUAUUUGAAUGGUAUUUGUAGAGCAAAAUAUUGUGGUUUGGAGCUUGAAAUCUACCACUAGUGAGUCGCGUGAACAGCUGUACAGCAGGGGAGAUCAUUUGUGUUUUUCCACAUGCUUUGUUUGCACCCAAAACACCGGGACGUAUUGACAAGCCACUGCUGUUGUCUAUUAUGGUGUAAUUGUCUUUAAUCUGUUAGAUACUCUUCUUUAAUCUCUUAGCUCCCUUUUCCAACGCUUUUAAAAUUCAGUUAACGUCUCACUCAGUCUUUCCUCUUAAUGCUGUACAAUUUUUCAUUGUCCAGUCGGGAAUAAAGCCCACAUAAAAA